rnacentral:lncRNA from 1 species
CGUUCUGCGUGGCGAUAUGGUCUGGCUACAUAUGUCUUUCUCACGUUCCUGCUGUCUGGCGUUGGUAAUUCCUUGUCGGUUUUUUCUCUCUGGAAGUGUCUUUGCCUCUCUUUUUGUCUGAUUGCUGUUUUGUUUUUUACCAUGCUGUUUUUGGUCAAUGAUGCCUGUUUUCUAAGUGCACUCUUGUCGUCUGUGUCAUUAGCGAUUUGGCUUUUUCACGGUGCGGUGGAUGCAUUAAAUCUUUGCGUUUAUGUGUUGCUUACAUUUGGGCGAAGGAAAUCUGUUACCCUUGCACGCGCGAUGCUCAGACAAUCUGACUAUUCUUGCAGGGAGUUUUCUGUAACUACUUGCUGCCAAGUGGCGAUCAAGAUAUUUCCGCAUAUCGCCACGCAGAACGCAGUUGUAACCUUCUCUAAAAUGUUGGGAGCAGCCGCAGUGCCAAAACUCAGCACCAAGUGGCAUGGAUUUAGCACUCGGGAGUGGGCGUUUCCCAUCCAUCUGUACGCCAUGCAAUGUUGUCAGAAACGCUAGUACAAGGGUGUUGUUUUUUCAGUCUAGUCAUGACGAGUGCUCAUGGUUGUCGGAGUGUAGCUGAGGUGGCGAUCCAGUUCGACGAGUCCGUUGACAAUCUCAGCAAGAGUCUUUCGAAUAUUCGGGAGGGGGGGACAUUGGAUGAUGGCGGAGGAGGCUUGGGCCAGAAGCGAGAGGUGGGCAGGCUGUACUCGUCGGUUUGCAGCGCUGUAAUGUCCUCGUCUUUUAUGGGGUUCGGAGGGCGAGCAUCCACAUACAGCGACGGGUAUUGAUAGCUCGUCCUUGGUGAUGACAGAGUGGAAGCAAUUUGAUUCGAGGGUCUAUCCAGGUCAGGCACGCCGCGACUGAACAGUGGGAGGGGGUCGCAGCGGUUGGCAUCGGUGGACUGAAGGAUCGCUGCAGUAGCAGCAGCAGCAGUAGCCCCACCCCACCCCACCCCCACCCUAAACACAUUUUAAUAAUUUGUGAUUUAUUAAAUAAGGACCAAUAUAUAACAUCAUUGAUGUUGUGAUAAGAGAACAUUUGACUGAAAACAAUUUCCAAGUAUAUGUAAAAUUUACAAUUUGAGUAGUAUAAUAUAAAAAAUCUAUGGUCUUUGAG